ACGUCCAUCCUCGGGUGUUCUGGGGUUGAUUCUUGCUCUUUUUAAAGCACGUUUGGGUAUUUUCCACGCCGAGAGGAGAGCGGGAGGUGGCGGCUCGAAGGAGAAAAGCGGUGGAAGGGAAUGGAGGCAUGGACCUGCCCGCCCCGGCGCGCAAACGUUUAACUGAAACCCCAAGGAGGCUCAAGAAGAAAGAAGAAAAAACACCCAAGAAACCAAACUGGCCUCGGAAAAGGAGUUUAAAAAAAGAAAUGAGUGAAUAAACCCUUGGCUCCUCAGUC